GCGUUGUCCGGAUUUACUGGGUGUAAAGGGUGCGUAGGCGGCAGAGCAAGUCAGGCGUGAAAGCCAUGGGCUUAACCCAUGAACUGCGCUUGAAACUGUUUUGCUUGAGUGAAGUAGAGGCAGGCGGAAUUCCCGGUGUAGCGGUGAAAUGCGUAGAGAUCGGGAGGAACACCAGUGGCGAAGGCGGCCUGCUGGGCUUUAACUGACGCUGAGGCACGAAAGCAUGGGUAGCAAACAGGAUUAGAUACCCUGGUAGUCCAUGCCGUAAACGAUGAUUACUAGGUGUGGGGGGUCUGACCCCCUCCGUGCCGGAGUUAACACUAUAAGUAAUCCACCUGGGGAGUACGGCCGCAAGGUUGAUACUCAAAGGAAUUGACGGGGGCCCGCACAAGCAGUGGAGUAUGUGGUUUAAUUCGAAGCAACGCGAAGAACCUUACCAGGUCUUGACAUCCGACUAACGAAGUAGAGAUACAUUAGGUGCCCUUCGGGGAAAGUCGAGACAGGUGGUGCAUGGUUGUCGUCAGCUCGUGUCGUGAGAUGUUGGGUUAAGUCCCGCAACGAGCGCAACCCUUGUCCUUAGUUGCUACGCAAGAGCACUCUAAGGAGACUGCCGUUGACAAAACGGAGGAAGGUGGGGACGACGUCAAAUCAUCAUGCCCCUUAUGACCUGGGCUACACACGUACUACAAUGGCCAUCAACAGAGGGAAGCAAAGCCGUGAGGUAGAGCAAACCCCUAAAAAUGGUCCCAGUUCAGAUUGUAGGCUGCAACUCGCCUACAUGAAGUCGGAAUUGCUAGUAAUCGCGGAUCAGAAUGCCGCGGUGAAUACGUUCCCGGGCCUUGUACACACCGCCCGUCACACCAUGGGAGCCGGUAAUACCCGAAGUCAGUAGUCUAACCGCAAGGAGGGCGCUGCCGAAGGUAGGAUUGGCGAG
rnacentral:rRNA from 2 species